GACAAAGAGACGGUGGUGGGCGUCCCUAACGGAUUCCUCCAUUUCAUUUCAAACCGGCGAGCGGGCAGGUGUGGAGUGUUGCUGCAGGUGUGGACUGCCGGCGACCUGCGUGACCAAAGGAAGGUUUGGAACAAAACAAGAAGCAAGAACAAUUAAGAUGAACACUAGCCACACCACAGAACUGUUACUGCUGGGACCACCACCAUCACCACCACCACCACCACCACCCUGCCAAGUGGACACCCCAGUGUGAGCGGAGCCAUCAACACCAGCCUGAGGACUAAUUGCUUAUGUACCAGAGGAGUGUGACAGUCUACCAAUACCUUGGAAGGAAGGUGAUGGUGAGGAACAGUGAAGGAAGGUGAUGGAGCAGAAACAGGCCCACACCAUCGUGGAAUGUGCUGCAAAUAAUCUUGGUUACCGGCAAAGUAAAGAGAUAGAGAUAGAUAGAUACAAAGAAAGAUAGAUAAUUAUUAGUAAGAGAUAGAUAGAGA